rnacentral:rRNA from 1 species
UACGUAGGGGGCUAGCGUUGUCCGGAAUCAUUGGGCGUAAAGAGCGUGUAGGCGGUCCGGUAAGUCCGCUGUGAAAGUCGGGGGCUCAACCCUCGAAUGCCGGUGGAUACUGUCGGGCUAGAGUGCGGAAGAGGCGAGUGGAAUUCCUGGUGUAGCGGUGAAAUGCGCAGAUAUCGCUUGGAACGCCGAAGGUGAAAACAGGCUGCUGGGGUUGCGCCGACGCUGAGACACGAAAGCCAGGGGAGCAAACGGG